rnacentral:rRNA from 1 species
UACGAAGGGGGCUAGCGUUGCUCGGAAUGACUGGGCGUAAAGGGCGCGUAGGCGGAUGACACAGUCAGAUGUGAAAUUCCCGGGCUUAACCUGGGGGCUGCAUUUGAUACGUGUUGUCUAGAGUGAGGAAGAGGGUUGUGGAAUUCCCAGUGUAGAGGUGAAAUUCGUAGAUAUUCGCAAGAACACCAGUGGCGAAGGCGGCUCACUGGCCCGGUACUGACGCUGAGAUGCGAAAGCGUGGGGAGCAAACAGG